CAUCGAUGAAGAACGCAGCGAAAUGCGAUAAGUAAUGUGAAUGCCAGAAUUCAGUGAAUCAUCGAAUCUUGAAACGCACCCUGCGCUCCUUGGUAUUCCGAGGAGCAUGCCUGUUUGAGUGUCUGNAAAUCAUCAACCCCUUCGGUUUUGCGACUGACGCGGGUUGGACUUGGGGGGUUUGCUGCUGAAAGGCGGCUCCCCUUAAAUGUUUCGGUCGGGCCUGUAGGUCGACUUUGAUUGGGUGUUGUAUUAUCCUCGCUCCUGAAAGUCUCCUCUUUUGUGCCCUUCCACGACCUGCCUAUGGAGUGGCGGUCAAACUUUUCUGACAUCUGACCUCAAAUCAGGUAGGACUACCCGCUGAACUUAAGCAUAUCAAUAAGCGGAGGAAAAGAAACUAACAAGGAUUCCCCUAGUAACUGCGAGUGAAGCGGGAUGAGCUCAAAUUUGAAAUCUGGCGCUUUCAGCGUCCGAGUUGUAUUCUGGAGAAGCGUCUUCCGUGC
rnacentral:rRNA from 1 species